GACGAACGCUGGCGGCGUGCUUAACACAUGCAAGUCGAACGGAAAGGCCCUGCUUUUGUGGGGUGCUCGAGUGGCGAACGGGUGAGUAACACGUGAGUAACCUGCCCUUGACUUUGGGAUAACUUCAGGAAACUGGGGCUAAUACCGGAUAGGAGCUCCUGCUGCAUGGUGGGGGUUGGAAAGUUUCGGCGGUUGGGGAUGGACUCGCGGCUUAUCAGCUUGUUGGUGGGGUAGUGGCUUACCAAGGCUUUGACGGGUAGCCGGCCUGAGAGGGUGACCGGACAAAUUGGGACUGAGAUACGGCACAGACUACUACGGGAGGGAGCAGUGGGGAAUAUUGCACAAUGGGCGGAAGCCUGAUGCAGUCACGCCGCGUGCGGGAUGACGGCCUUCGGGUUGUAAUCCGCUUUCGCCUGUGACGAAGCGUGAGUGACGGUAAUGGGUAAAGAAGCACCGGCUAACUACGUG
rnacentral:rRNA from 1 species